AUGAUAUGGUCCAUCCGCCUGCCACUGAAGAUCCGUAUCUUCAUGUGGCAAUGGAUUCACGGUCGGAUCCCGUCAGGGGUUGAGGUGCGUAAGCGAAAUGGCCCGGGUACUGGCAUUUGCCCGCUCUGUGGGGUUCCCGAAGACUUGAACCACAUUUUCUUCUCGUGCGUCUCCACCCAGUUCCUCUGGAGCUGUUUUCGCGAGGCGGUUGGUGGAGAUUGGUGUCACACCGACUUUCCGGACUUAUUUGCCGAACUCCAGAUGUCCCCCGCGACCUCUCGCCAUAUUAGGUGGCUUAAGAUUGGGGUCCUCGCCUGGACCCUCUGGACUGUCCGCAAUAAGCUAGUGAUUCAGCACACGCCUCUUCGCCGGUCUACUGACGCUUUUUUCAAACUCUCGGAUUUCUUGCAGCUUUGGCGGCCGCUUAGCCACCCCCGGGGCCGCGACGCCAUCUCCGCCUUCAUUGUCGACCUCCGAUCGAUGGCCGUCCGCCUGUCGUCGCCGCCCCCGCCGCCACCACCGGAGCCAGACUAG
rnacentral:rRNA from 1 species